GCCGCCCCAAGAGCGGCGGCCGUGGCCGCGGAGGUGCGGGGGCAGCGGGCGGCUCCUCAGCCUCGGCGCACGGAGGCGUCUCCCGGCUCGCCGUGGCCCGGUGCCCCCAGCGCCCUCGGGCGAGAGAGCUCCGGCGCCUGGGGCAAGGCAGAGGCUGCAGCUUCGCAAGUACGACGUGAGCCCUGACUGAGGGUGAGAGCUAGAGAUGGUACCGCAGGCACAUCCCUCCUUCGGCAGGCACGCAGAGGGAGAGCUGACACAGAGCAGCAAGGUUUCCUGCUUCCCCUCCAGUGUGAUGCCAUACGAUCAGCACGGUGACAGGCACGCAGAGCUAGAUUCUGCUUGGUGUUGAGAGGAUGACAAACCUGACACAGAAGAGGAAGGCACAAGAAUGAACACUGACAAUACCAAGCCUCAGCAUUCACCAUCACUGCCAG